CUAUCCUGGCUUAAUCUUGAAGGGCUAGUGUUAGGAUCCAGCUGAGGCAGUAAGCAAGUGCUAGCACUGGAGGUGGGGUCAGCAAGUGUGAUUAUUCCCUCCCCCUGCCCCGCCCAGCAUUGAGGUGGGGUCAGCAAGUGUGAGUCUCCCCCUGCCCAGCUCCCUCCUUCCUUCAGAGUCUACAUAAUAAGAAUCAGUAAGCUCUUCCACGUCUUAAGUUAGAACUAGUAUUAGUAUUAACUAGGGGCAUUCUGCCUAGACCAGUUCUUCCUGUGUGUAGUUCAGAAAGGCAGGAGUGGAACUGAAAUGCAAGAUUUAAGAAGCAUUGGCUGUCAGAAGCACUUGAACUCCCUAAGGAUAAUUUGACCCGCUGCAGGAAUGGCAUGAGAAUAACACAAAUACAUGUAAGCAGAUACGUGAGAAUUCAAACUCCUAAUUAUACACGGAUUUGAACAGCUGCCUAAUAUUUUACCCAGUGUACUCUCUGUGAACUUGAGCACUGAGCCCUGGUUGGGUUUCUAGGGCCCUUUUCCUUCCGAAAUCCUUUAGCAACUGAAUGUUUGUCAUUAUUAAAAUGGGUCUGGGAUUUUUUUUUAAUCUGAAGAUUGCUUUCGUUCAAAAAUAAACGGAAGCUCUGCAUCUU
rnacentral:lncRNA from 1 species